GUGAAUCAUCGAAUUUUUGAACGCAAAUUGCACUCUCUGGUAUUCCGGAGAGUAUGCCUGUUUGAGGGUCAGUAUAAUCAAAAUCGGUGCGAUGCCUUUUGGGUGUUGCACCGGAGUUGGGGUCUUCUUAAGUCUGUCAGAGACCUAAAAUUAACAUUCUUUCUUUGCUUACGUUGUGCUUUCCAUAAUUUUUUGUCUUCGUCUA
rnacentral:misc_RNA from 1 species